rnacentral:tRNA from 1 species
GUGUGUGUAAUUUAAAAAAAAUAUCAAGCUGUGACCCUGAAAAUAGACGUUCUCACACACC